GACGAGGGGUCCUAGCGUUGUUCGGAAUUACUGGGCGUAAAGCGCAUGUAGGCGGCUUGAUAAGUCAGAUGUGAAAUCCCUGGGCUCAACCCAGGACGUGCACCUGAUACUGUCGAGCUUGAGUAUGGGAGAGGGUAGUAGAAUUCCUGGUGUAGUGGUGAAAUACGUAGAUAUCAGGAGGAAUACCGGUGGCGAAGGCGGCUACCUGGCCCAAUACUGACGUUGAGAUGCGAAAGCGUGGGGAUCAAACAGG
rnacentral:rRNA from 1 species